AUGGGAAUGGCGCAGUGACACAGUCUGCAGGUGGACUGAAUAAUCGAAAUGUGUUUCUCCCUGAAGAAGUCUAUAUGGGAAUCCUUGCUAUUACCUUGGCUUUGUUAGGUAUUGUGGUUGUCAUCAUUAUCACAAACUACUUCAACAGCAGAGUGAAGCUGAAGACACUAAGCAAGGUUUGGGAGACUCAUCCUCAAUAUCAAGUUUUAGAAGAGCAAGAUCCAGCAGAAAACAAAGCCUGUGUCAUCGAGAGUAAACUUUGAGUCACAGAUUAUGACAGGUGACUGCAGAGGACACUGAUCAUGCAUCACUACGUUCAACCCUUUGGAUUCCUGGAUCAUUUUUCUGCAUAACUUAUAUCCGCAUUUCCAAUGAAUCAGUGCUGUUGGAUAGAGUAACUCUUGGGGCCAAAGCCUUAUGUUCUCAAAUUCAUUGUUACUAUAGUCCUGAUCUUUAUGCUGAGACUGGCCUGGUCUCUCCAGGCACUGCAGAGUUUUCUGUCAAGCAUGAAUACCUCACAGUUUCGUCUUUUCUUUAGACUCCAAGAUUCUUUUAUCCAUCAAAGAAAGUAAUCAGGGUAACACAAUAAAUGAGCCCAACACAACUGUCAAAAGCAGUAAGCUUUAAAAAGCAAAAUAUCCAA